UCCUAGUCUGUUCAAGUCUCUAGCACGAAACUGCCAGUUUUGUCAUCUAGCCGCGGUCUUCUGGAGGAGAGGACAAAGAUCCAGUUCAUAAGAUGGAGUCAGACCCGGGUCUAUCGAGUAUCAAGUGACAUGAGGAACGAAGCCAUGCGGGAGAGAUUGGAGCAAGUGCGAAACAGCGUGUCCCAGGUCAUGCUUCAAGCAAUGCAGAACAACAGGUCGAACACUGAGAUCCGAGCCACGCUUUCG
rnacentral:lncRNA from 1 species